GACGAACGCUGGCGGCGUGCCUAAUACAUGCAAGUAGAACGCUGAAGGAGGAUCUUGCUUCUCUGGAUGAGUUGCGAACGGGUGAGUAACGCGUAGGUAACCUGCCUGGUAGCGGGGGAUAACUAUUGGAAACUAUAGCUAAUACCGCAUACUAGUAGAUGUCGCAUGACAUUUGCUUAAAAGUUGCACUUGCAUCACUACCAGAUGGACCUGCGUUGUAUUAGCUAGUUGGUGAGGUAACGGCUCACCAAGGAAACGAUCCAUAGCCGACCUGAGAGGGUGAUCGGCCACACUGGGACUGAGACACGGCCCAGACUCCUACGGGAGGCAGCAGUAGGGAAUCUUCGGCAAGGGACGGAAGUCGGACAGAGCAACGCCGCGGGAGGGAAGAAGGUUGUCGGAUCGGAAAGCUCUGUUGUAAGAGAAGAACGAGUGUGAGAGUGGAAAGUUCACACUGUGACGGUAUCUGAACAGAAAGGGACGGCUAACUACGUG
rnacentral:rRNA from 1 species